AAGACUAUACUUUCAGGGAUCAUUUCUAUAGUUCGUUACUAGAGAAAAGCCAGCCCUCUCUCUUCCAGACUUCCUCCCCGGA
rnacentral:snoRNA from 1 species